GCUACUUGGGAGGCUACGGUGGGAGGAUGGCUUGAGCUUAGGAGUUUGAGGUUACAGGAAGCUAUGAUUGUGCCACUGCCCUCCAGCCUGGGUGAUGGAGUAAGACCAUGUUUCAAAAACAAAACAAAAAAAAAAGAAAUGCAAGUUAGACCAAUGAAGUAUAAUGUAAUGAAAUACAAAAAAUUCAUUGCUAUGGUUUCAAAUUCCCAGUGCAAUUAACCUUUAAGAUACUACGUGUCAGGCCUCUGAGCCCAAACUAAGCCAUCAUAUCCCCUGUGACCUGCAUGUAUACAUACAGAUGGCCUGAAGCAACUGAAGAUCCACAAAAGAAGUGAAAAUAGCCUUAACUGAUGACAUUCCACCAUUGAGAUUUGUUCCUGCCCCACCCUAACUGAUACGAUAUAUUCUCCCCCGCCCUUAAGAAGACUCAGCCCGCCUGCACCCAGGUGAAAUAUACAGCCUUGUUGCUCACACAAAGCCUGUUUGGUGGUUUCUUCACACGGAUGCAUGUGACAUUUGGUGCUGAAGACCCAGGACAGGAGGACUCCUUUGGGAGACCAGUGCCCUGUUGUCGCCCUCACUCCGUGAGGAGAUCCACCUAUGAUCUCAGGUCCUCAGACCAACCAGCCCAAGGAACAUCUUGCCAAUUUCAAAUCGGGUAAGUGUGUCAGGCCUCUGAGUCCAAGCUAAGCCAUCAAAUCCCCUGUGACCUGCACGUGUACAUCCAGAUGACCUGAAGCAACUGAAGAUCCACAAAAGAAGUGAAAGUAGCCUUAACUGAUGACAUUCCACCAUUGUGAUUUGUUCCUGCCCCACGCUAACUGAUACCAUAUAUUCUUCCCCCGCCCUUGAGAAUGUACUUUGUACACCUAUCCCAAACCUAUAAGAACUAAUGAUAAUCCUACCACCCUUUGCUGACUCUCUUUUUGGACUCAGCCCGCCUGCACCCAGGUGAAAUAAACAGCCCUGUUGCUC
rnacentral:lncRNA from 10 species